UGCUGGCAAAGGUCAGUUGUUUUACUGUCCUUCAGAUCAGGCAUCUUAGAAGUGGGAUACCUAAAAGGAAAAAAGAGAAAUGUUAAUAUAGAAAGAGAGAUUAAACUGAGAAAGACAGAAGUUGAACCCAAGGGUAUCCAUUUCAGGGGAUUUCAGGGGGUUAGUGGAUGAGCCCUUUUGAUCAUGUAGCAUUGCUCUUUGAGCGUUUUGAUGCUCUUGGUAAUGUUGCCCAGAGCCUGGAUUACCUCUUCUAUCAGAACAUGCGUGACCUGAGCAUUUCCCAUCCUUUUUUUGUGGUCCAGUCAGGGCUUGUCCAGAGAAAAAGAGAACCAUGCAUAGUCUGCUAGCAAUGAUGGGUCUUUAUAUGUUUAUAACAAGUCAUCAGACUUGAGAUUGUAGUAAUACUUCAGAGACUGGGGGCCAGCCACAAGGCAACCUAGGGUCUUAACUGUCAUCUGGAUAGUAAAGUUUUCUCAGUGACUAUGAGUAACAAAAAAGGAGAAAAAUUGGAACGUUAGUUGAGGGGUUUAUGGCUAGAUAUUGAGGGAAAUUGGAAGAUUUGAAAAUUUAGUAAAAGUGGACAAUUUGUGCAAGAUAACAGAUUCAAGUACAAUUUAUUAGUAGUUACAAAAACUGAUUGUCCCAUAGUGUGAGAGAAAGUCAAUUAAAUCUCUACUAGAGAAGAGAGAGUUUGCAUAACUAUCAGUUACUCUCAGUUUACCAAGAGGCACUAAAUAGCUCAAACACAAAUUAACAGGAUCAGAAUCUGAUAAUCCAGAAAGAUGUGCUAUGAUUUCCCAUGGAAACACAAAUUUUCUUUCUACAGUUACUCCUCCUCUUUUGAUCAAAGACAAUCUCAAAGAAAGAUUAUUCUUGAUCACAAAUUAAGGUUGGUCUCAUGAGAUUCGGCCUGGUUAUUUGCAUAGGUGCUGCAAGAGCAGCAAUUUACAUAUAGAUCAUAUUAUAUUUGCUUUGCUGGAAGUUUUCAUAAAGAAUGUCAAAUUGGACUUUUCAAAGCCUCUUGAGGAUAAGAAGCCAAGCCAACAACUCACAUCAGAUUUCACAUGCAGUACCUAUCGAUUUGGCAGGCAUUCCUUUCUUCUUGAGAUCCCACAAAUAUCCUAAGAUUCCAGAGCCUGCUGGGAAGUGACAUUCCUUGCUCACCUGCAAAGCUGCAAACCCUGCAAAGCCAGGUUUCAAGCCAGUUUUCGCAAGAGGAGCUUUGUAAGCAUUGGCCCUAUAAGGUCAACCUUAGUUCCUUAAAAGUGUCUGGUCAUAUCUGAUUAAAUAAGCGUCACUCUCAAAUAUGACAUCCAGGCAAAGCCUUGGUUGUAUUACCAAUGUUUUUGUGCCCUGUUAACAAAGAGGACAGACUCUUACUGAAUCUAUGCAAAUAACCAUAUUGCCAUGAAAAUAAGAAGACUCAAGGAGAAUUUCCAAAUUUUGAAUGGGUGAGUCAGGGAAGAAAAGAAAGAAGUUUCAUUUCUGUUUACAAGAAAUUAGCAUGGUCUAUGAAAUUGUUAUGAGUGAUGAAUAGCUUAAAAAAAAGAGGAGGGGUUUUCUUAUGUCCAGAAAAUAGGAUAUUAGGCCGAGCGUGGUGGCUCACAUCUGUUAUUCCAGCACUUUGGGAGGCCGAGGCGGGUGGAUCAUGAGGUCAAGAGAUCGAGACCAUCCUGGCCAACAUGGUGAAAACCCGUCACUACUAAAAAUACAAAAACAGCCAAGUGUGGUGGCACUACCCUGUAAUCCCAGCUACUUGGGAGGCUGAGACAGGAGAAUUGUUUGAACCUGGGAGGCAGAGGUUGCAGUGAGCUGAGAUCACGCCAUUGCACUCCAGCCUGGGCAUAAGAGCAAAACUCUGUCUCAAAAAAAAAAAGAAAAUAGUACAUUAAAGGAAUAGCCCUAUAGCCCUAUUCCAAAAAAGUCCCAUAAUUAUCUAUCAUCAGUUCAUUCACUCCUGUGGAAUUAGUUCUUGUCCCACUUGAUCCCGGAUUAGUAGGCUUAUGAACCCAUCUCUUUUUCAACUAGAGUUCUGGAAUUCCUAACUCAGUUCAUUGUUUUGGUCCCAAAGUUACUUAAACAACGUAAUUAGAAACUUUAACACAACAGCACCUAGCAUAAUCCUUUUCCACAUACUUCUGAGUCAGUCCUUUUUUGUGGAAACAAAGUCCUCCAUAGAUAACAAAAGACUUAAAAUUGCUGUGGUUAACAUAUUUUUGAUAAUUUUUGAAAGUAAAAGAUCUGAUGAAAGUUUGCUAUAAAAAUAAUACAUUGACAGAAAAAUUUAAUUGUCGUUAUGGCACUUAAAGUUGCUACAAAAAGUUUCAGAGAAAAUAUGUGUAAACAUAAUAAUUAAUUUUAUUUUCAAAAAAGGGUGGAUAUUACAUCAAAUUUAUGAAAGUGGAUGGGCAUAGUUUUUAUAGAGAAAACAUUUUCAGAUAUAACAUGAUUAUCUGGGCGCAGUGGCUCAUGCCUGUAAUCCCAGCAGUUUGGGAGGCUGAGGCAGGCGGAUCACAAGCAUAAGGUCAGGAGUUGGAGACCAGCCUGGCCAACAUGGUAAAACCCCGUCUCUACUAAAAAUACAAAAAUUAGCCAGGUGUGAUGGCAGUCACCUGUAGUCCCAGCUACUCGGGAGGCUGAGGCAGGAGAAUCUCUUGAACCUGGGAGGCGGAGGUUGUAGUGAGCCGAGAUCGUGCCACUGCACUCCAGCCUGGGCAACAGAGUGAGACUCCAUCUCAAAAAAAAAAAAAAAAAAAAAAAAAAAAAGAAAUAACAUGAUAAUCAUGAGACAUAAUGUGUCAUGAAUAUAUCAAACAUAUAGUUAGAAUAUACCAAGAAUAUAUUUAGAUUAUCAAGCAAAGAGAUUCAGUAUAUUUGUAUAGGUUUAGGAAAAAAAUACUCAAGUAGAACAAAAAUGUAUUCUUACCAUGUGGACAACUCAGAAGACAUAGCUAUAUUUAUUAAAUCAAUUAUAUUAAACUACUCUCAAUGGCCAAAGGUUUAUCUAAAUUAGGUGAACUUGAAUUUUUAAACACUUUGUUAAGCUUUUAUAAAAAUACUUUUUUCACAUUGAUGAUAUUAGAAAUUUGAUUUUCCUAAUUUCAAGGAAGUUCAAGAAUACUUAACUUAUGUAGGCUCUCAUUCAUCUCUAAGACAAUCCAGAAGGAGCUUAUUUAAGGCGUUUUAUAAUUUAAUGUGGUAAUACCAUCUGGAGGUAGGAAAAUAUUACACAAACAAAAUGUAUGUGCACAUGCACAAACACACAUACAUAAACAUAUAGGCAGACAUAGCCAACUUACAGCUUUAAUUUUUAAAUUUUAGCCAUGACUUAGGCAUAAUCACAGAAAUGCAAAACUCACUGAUUCAUAUAAAAAAACAGAGUAUUGACUGGGCACGGUGGCUCAUGCCUGUAAUCUCAGCACUUUGGGAGGCCAAGGCGGUCAGAUCAUUAAGUCAGAAGAUCGAGACCAUCCUGGCCAACAUGGUGAAACACAGUGUCUACUAAAAAUACAAAAAUUAGCUGAGCAUGGUGGCAUGUGCUUGUAAUCCCAGCUACUUUGGAGGCUGCGGCAGGAGAAUCGCUUGAACCUGGGAGGUAGAGAUUGCAGUGAGUCGAGAUUGCACCACUGUACACCAGCCUGGCAACAGAGUGAGAUUCCAUCUCAAAAAACAAACAAAUAAACAAACAAACAAAGUAUCAUCAUUGCCUCACGUUUAUAUUUUUACAAGGAUAAUAUUUUUGGUAGAUGGGGCAAGUUGAAGUAACCUGUUCAGUAUGAGAACUGAAGCAUCUUCACCAAUAUUUGUGUAGGAGACCCAUAAGCUACCCUUGGCUCUGGUGUAUAAUUCUAGGGAAGCUGUGGACUCAAUUUCAAGGGAGGCAUGGAGGAGAGACCAAGCGGUCAUCUGGUGUCUCCAGAGCCCACCUGAGGGGAUAAAACAUUCAGCCUGUUUCCGGUGAGCCUUUUUAGCCUCAGGCUGUUGCUCUUAGUGCCCCUGGGCUUCUCUAGAGCCUCCCAUGAAGGGACAGGACUUAAAGCUCAAGGGAUUAUAAGGAAUUGAGGGGCCAGAGUGGGAGAGGAAAGGUCUGGCAGGAGUGGAUGGAAAGGUGGAGGAGAUAGAGGGUUGAAAGAGGAAGAUCCAAGGAUUAAAGGGAGCUGAAGGGAACAUGGAAGAUGGUAGAAAAGAGAGAUUGGGGGAUAGGUGAUGAGAAGACACAGGUCACAGAUUGGGGAAGGAUGACUGUCUUUGAAAGAAGCAAUGGUCACUGAAAAGUUUUUGAGAGAGAGCAUUUUUUUUUUCUGCCUCUUUGUACCAAAUGCCCACCACCACUAACAAAGCAUCUAUUGCUUGGAUGAGAUCUUGGUGGCACAGGAUUCAAUUGCCCUUCGCAGAAUGAGGCAAUUUGGAAAAAUUCUACGUUCUCCAAAGAGGCCAUUGAAAUUUAAGUUGUAAAAUAUUGCCAUUUUUUUUUUUGGAAGAAAGUGGGUGGAAUUAUUACCAUAGUAACACAGAGCAUACCCCAGAGUUGAGGGUUCUGGAGAACAACAGCCAAAUUGACGGUUUCUCAUGAUAAUGGAAGGGACACCUGCUGGUGCUAGAGGCUUUGGGAUUUCAACUCAGGUAUGAUUCUCAGGAGAGAAUGAGGGGCUUUCACCACACUCAAAAAAGGCAGAAGGGAAAGAUGGAAAAACAGAAGAAAAUGACAAAAAUGAGAGAAAUAUAAGUCAACUUCUCACUGUGCUACAACAGACAGACGUCUGGAGCACUGGAUUAGAAAUCAUGACUUACCACUGUGUAUUCUGAUUUCCCCAGCCAAGGAGAGGCACAAGGAGUCCAAUAAGGCAGCACUGGGUGAAG
rnacentral:lncRNA from 1 species